AGAGGAAUUUGUCCCUUAAUCGAUAGUCCUCGUUUUAUCUUGCUUUAUCUUGUUUUCAGUAUGUAUAUCGCCGUUAUAAGUAUAUUUUUUAAGGAUUAGAAUUUACUUGAUAUUUAGUUUAUAUUAUUUCAGGUCAAGGUGCAGCUGAUGAUUAAGUGGUGGUGAAUUACAAUAUUAUUAUAAAUAAAUGGAUUUUUGUUUUAAAAAUUGAAUGAAGGUGGAUUUGUUAGUAAUUAAAACGAUAAUAUUUUUUUGAUUGUGGCUCUAAAAUAAGUACACAUCGCCCGUCGCU
rnacentral:rRNA from 1 species